GCAGGCUGAAACCCGCCUGCGUGAAGUUGGAAUUGCUAGUAAUCGCGGAUCAGCAUGCCGCGGUGAAUACGUUCCCGGGCCUUGUACACACCGCCCGUCACACCAUGGGAGCCGGUAAUACCCGAAGUCAGUAGUCUAACCGCAAGGGGGGCGCUGCCGAAGGUAGGAUUGGCGACUGGGGUGAAGUCGUAACAAGGUACC
rnacentral:rRNA from 1 species